GAGGGCAAAGUUCAGUGGUAGAGUGCAAUGUUUAGCAUGCAUGAGGUCCUAGGUUCAACCCCUGGUACUUCCA
rnacentral:tRNA from 1 species